UACGUAGGGGGCAAGCGUUGUCCGGAAUCAUUGGGCGUAAAGCGCGCGUAGGCGGCCCGGUAAGUCCGUUGUGAAAGUCAAAGGCUCAACCUUUGAACGCCGAUGGAUACUGCCGGGCUAGAGUCCGGAAGAGGCGAGUGGAAUUCCUGGUGUAGCGGUGAAAUGCGCAGAUAUCAGGAAGAACACCCGUGGCGAAGGCGGCUCUCUGGUACGUGACUGACGCUGAGACGCGAAAGCGUGGGGAGCAAACAGG
rnacentral:rRNA from 1 species